UGAAAUACUACAAUCAAUAACUAACAAAGGCUGAUAUCAAGGACCUACACACACCAUCUUAGCCAGGACUGUAUACGCAAAACUGUAUCUAUCAUGACUGAAGUACAUGCCAAGUCUUGUGGAUAUUGGAUCAUAACAAAAAGGUAUAAUCAUGUUGCUAAGGAUUGUACACCAGCAAUUACCUCUUGAAGGGAGAUUGAUAAGAGAAUUAACUCAGCAUGCCAAGAACCAUCUGAGAACGUUUUAGAAAACAAACACUUACUUGGAGCAACAUAGACCCCGGUUCACAGAUCUGGACUCUGCCCCUUACCAGUUACUUACCAUUGACGUAGACAGCAGCACAAAAACUUCUAGAAUCUGGAAUUGGAGAAAAUCCGUCCACUAGAACUUCAACGAAGAGGGGACCCAUGCAUACCCCCAGAGAGAGUCUAUGUUUUCUUUUUUCUUUUUUUGUGAUAUACCCAAGACCCACCUUGGACUCAAGGGACACAAAUUUGGUCUUCUUCAGUACAGGUUUACAGACAUGUUUCUGAGGGCAUUUUGCUCAUCCCUUGGAAGUGGACAUUCCCUCCUAUUCCAUGUUUCCAGUUGUCUGAAGGAGGGAUGAGUGUCAGCACCCCACAUCUGUGGCGAAGGAAGAUGAGAAGAAGCUCUUGCUCUCCAAAUAGCAUCCCUGUUUCUAGGUGGGAUGCAUAUUAUAUACUUUCCUCCCAAGGUCUGUACAGAAGCUGGAGAUGUCCUGGGCCACCUGGAUGCAUGGAGACAUUGGAGAAAACAGAACCAUGAGAGUAGCGAGAAUUUCAGCCUGAGUAAAAGGUCAGCAGCACACCAGGUUUCUGAAGGUGAAAUCAUGUGGAACAUUGGGCUGGACUCCAUUUUGGACAACCAAAAUGUGGAAUUCUGGCAUAGAUGAAGUACAUGGAAAUCAAGAAAAUGGAUGCCAGGGGGCCAAGGACCAAUUUCACUGGCAUUAGAUUCUAGCCAACUCUAUUACCACUUCAGAAAUAAGACUCAUCAACGCACUGAGUGUGGCCCAAGAUUUUUGCCUGCCUCCUACCCACUCAGCAAGGAGCCACAAUUUGAUCCUAGAGAUUUGAUUCUAAUUGAGCAGGCUACUGUGGGUUCCUGAGGAUUUCUCCAACAAGAACAGUUGUGUUUGGUAUGUGCAUCUGAGUCGUUCGUGAAGGAUGGAAACUUCUUGGACAAACCUCCAAGUCAAUCAAAAGGAUUACCAGGAUUUUAAUCCCAAAUAUCAAAUCCCCAGCUGUUGGUAAAAAUGUAUGAUCUAUGGUUCUAAAUGACCACAGUUGAGUGACACUUUGAUUUUCACACAGGCUCCUUUUAAGUGGCAGAUGGUAUUCUAGUUAGUUUGACUGUAAGCUUCCUGGAGUCUGGGUUCUCCUUGGGUGGCAAACCUAGGAGAACCUAUAUAAUGGCAAACUCACAUUAAUUGGUACCAGUGGAUUUGCAGAGCAAAGUCUAAUUUCCUUGGCCUUGUUCAUUCUGCUUCUCAGCUUUUCCCUAUUUUCUUUCCAUUUCUGAAUCCUUCCAAGUCUACCUCAUAAUCUACUGUGAGGUCCUCAAGGUGACUUUGACCCCAAUCAUCUCUUCUAUUUCUUACCUCCUAAUGCAUUUGUGGUGUGUACCAUCCAACUCAGUUUAUAAUAAUAUUAUGUUUCAUAUAUUUCUCUUAUUAAUAUAUGUACAUUGGCUCUUCCUCUUUUAACUCCAGUUCCUUGAGGGUAGGGACAUUAUUUCACACCAUCCUUAUAACUUCUUCCUUUCCUUGAUAGUGUCCAACUCAGUGCCAAACAUCCAGCAAUUAACUAAAUAUUUCCAUACGGUUUAAAACAUAACUCUAGAAGCCUUUUGAAAAAUGUCAGUAACUUGCGAGUUUACAUUUUAAGCCAUAAUCAGUUGACCCCUUAAUUGGAAAUGAGCACUUUCUCUGGGUAACUUGUAUAUUCAUGUGGGAGGGCAGCAUAUAUAGGGCUAUGGGGAAGGAUGGAGAAUGGUUUUCACUUACUUCAUACUGUCGCCUCUAUUUACCCCAGUCUUUGAGAGCAGAUAUAGUGGAUCAAUCCAAGGAAGCAGACAUCUCACUAGGUAUUUCAACAUAGAGAAUUUAGCCUAAGAAACUGGUUAAGACAGAAAACUGAAAAAAUGGAAAGGGGACACGAGAUUAUCACAGAGAUAAGUAACUGCAGGAAACAAUCCCACCCAAGUGAUGUGGUUUGAAGUCAAUGGUCAGCAAAGAAUUCUUGAGAUGGUUUUGGUACAAAAAGGUGUUUUUAUUAAAGCAUGGGGACAGGACCCAUGGGCAGGAAGAGCUGCACUGGGGUCAUGAGGAGCAAUUGAUUAUACACUUUGGAGUUGGAGAUGGUAAAGACAAAGGAAGUUUCCAAAAGGAUUUUCAGAAGCUAAAGAAGACUUAUAGGAUCCUGGAGGCCUAGCUAUUACCAAGCUAAGGUUGUUUUUCCUUCUAGCAAAGCAUUGAUAUUAAGACAGUUGGGAGUUCUCGAAGAAUGUUAUACUCUGCCUGCCUCAAGUAUUUGUUAAUUCCAGCAGGUUGUAAGCAAAUUUAAUUUUAUCUCCAUUUCUUUUGCCUUUGUUCUCCACAUCAUUAGCCCUGGGUGAACCAACUGGAAGAGGUUUGGGUGAUGAGAACCUAGAAGCCAGGAGGAGAAGUCCCACAGAACUGCACUCAGAUCUCUGAGGAGGGCAAGUUCUGCUCAGACACUCAAGUGGAUCUUCCAGAUGGUUGCCUGGUCUAAGAACCCGUGGUAGAGGAAGAAGAGACUCCAGGCCAUGAAACCGGCCCACGUCACUCCACUGACUGAUGUCUCCCACACCUCUGAUGCCAGGAUAUUUCAUCUUUUCUUAAAGGAUUAAGAGAAGGGGUUUGCUGAAUAUGACGGGUGAUAUUUAUUGCAGUCUUUCAAAGAGCAUCUGCCACUGAAAUGCAGGUGGAGAUUUUGAGAAUGCACAAUUCUUCUUUAUUCCUGUUCCUGUGAUCAUUCCCAUUUGGUUUGCUGACUAGACCAGAAAACUACUUUCUGUACUGCGAAGACAUCUCACGAUACAAACUAUUUUCAGAAAGUGCGGAUGUCAGAUGUCUGACCAAACUCCAGGGAAGGAAGAAGAGGCUGUCCUUUUGUGUCACAGCAUUUUUGCUGAACACAAGUGCCACGUGGAUGACAGGUUGGAGGGGAAGCUGGAAGAGCUGAUCUAAGGGACGGAAGGUUGCUCUGGAGUAGUUGGCGGACAUCUUUGAAGAUGAAGAUGACUGAGCAAGAUGGUGUUUCAUGUUUUUGCAAAAGGAGCCGGAGAUACUGUAAGAGAAGUUACCUUUGGAACUCCUCCCUGAGAAUUGACCGUUCAUGCUCAUUAACUCAUCAGUGGAAAAUUUUGCCCCAAGUGAACCGGAUAUUGAACCUUGGCAGGGUCCCUAGAGCAAUGACAGCUGUUGAUGCUGAUUAUAAAGAUACCUACCAGGAUACGAGGCACCUUUGGUCCACAUUUUGCUGGACUCACAUUUUCAGGAACCAGUUAGCUUAUGCACCCCCCCCCCGAUAAUUUCAAAUAUAGAUUUAUGAUACGUGUUUGGUUUUAUAUAUUAAAUAGGUAUCUGUCAAAGUGGGUAUCCAAAGUGAGGGAUUUUACUUUUUAUGAUUAGUAUUUGGCAUUUUAAUUAUAUGAAAUAGAUUUUUGGGAAUAAAACUCCAAUUCAAGAGGCAA